AUAAGAUUAAGUUAGUUAGACUGUAUGUUUUCAAAACAUAAAGCGGUUGUUUUAUCAUCUUAUG
rnacentral:tRNA from 1 species